GACGAACGCUGGCGGCGUGCUUAACACAUGCAAGUCGAACGGAAAGGCCCUGCUUUUGUGGGGUGCUCGAGUGGCGAACGGGUGAGUAACACGUGAGUAACCUGCCCUUGACUUUGGGAUAACUUCAGGAAACUGGGGCUAAUACCGGAUAGGAGCUCCUGCUGCAUGGUGGGGGUUGGAAAGUUUCGGCGGUUGGGGCUGGACUCGCGGCUUAUCAGCUUGUUGGUGGGGUAGUGGCUGACCAAGGCUUUGAAGGGUAGCCGGCCUUAGAGGGUGACCGGCCACAUUGGGACUGCGAUACGGCCCAGACUCCUACGGGACGCAGCAGUGGGGAAUAUUGCACAAUGGGCGGAAGCCUGAUGCAGCAACGCCGCGUGCGUGAUGACGGCCUUCGGGUUGUAAACCGCUUUCUCCUGUGACGAAGCGGGAGUGACGGUAAUGGGUAAAGAAGCACCGGCUAACUACGUG
rnacentral:rRNA from 1 species